GACGAACGCUGGCGGCGUGCUUAACACAUGCAAGUCGAACGGAAAGGCCCUGCUUUUGUGGGGUGCUCGAGUGGCGAACGGGUGAGUAACACGUGAGUAACCUGCCCUUGACUUUGGGAUAACUUCAGGAAACUGGGGCUAAUACCGGAUAGGAGCUCCUGCUGCAUGGUCGGGGUUGGAAAGUUUCGGCGGUUGGGGAUGGACUCGCGGCUUAUCAGCUUGUUGGUGGGGUAGUGGCUUACCAAGGCUUUGACGGGUAGCCGGCCUGAGAGGGUGACCGGCCACAUUGGGACUGCGAUACGGCCCAGACUCCUACGGGAGGCAGCAGUGGGGAAUAUUGCACAAUGGGCGGAAGCCUGAUGCAGCAACGCCGCGUGCGGGAUGACGGCCUUCGGGUUGUAAACCGCCUUCGCCUGUGACGAAGCGUGAGUGACGGUAAUGGGUAAAGAAGCACCGGCUAACUACGUG
rnacentral:rRNA from 1 species